rnacentral:rRNA from 1 species
GAUGAACGCUGGCGGCGUGCCUAAUACAUGCAAGUCGAGCGAACGGACGAGAAGCUUGCUUCUCUGAUGUUAGCGGCGGACGGGUGAGUAACACGUGGAUAACCUACCUAUAAGACUGGGAUAACUUCGGGAAACCGGAGCUAAUACCGGAUGAUAUUUAGAACCGCAUGGUUCAAAAGUGAAAGACGGUCUUGCUGUCACUUAUAGAUGGAUCCGCGCUGCAUUAGCUAGUUGGUAAGGUAACGGCUUACCAAGGCAACGAUGCAUAGCCGACCUGAGAGGGUGAUCGGCCACACUGGAACGUAGACACGGUCCAGACUCCUACGGGAGGCAGCAGUAGGGAAUCUUCCGCAAUGGGCGAAAGCCUGACGGAGCAACGCCGCGUGAGUGAUGAAGGUCUUCGGAUCGUAAAACUCUGUUAUUAGGGAAGAACAUAUGUGUAAGUAACUGUGCACAUCUUGACGGUACCUAAUCAGAAAGCCACGGCUAACUACGUG